CAAGUCGAGCGCAGGAGAUCGACGGAACCCUUCGGGGGGAAGUCGACGGAAUGAGCGGCGGACGGGUGAGUAACACGUAAAGAACCUGCCCUCAGGUCUGGGAUAACCACGAGAAAUCGGGGCUAAUACCGGAUGGGUCAUCGGACCGCAUGGUCCGAGGAUGAAAGGCGCUUCGGCGUCGCCUGGGGAUGGCUUUGCGGUGCAUUAGCUAGUUGGUGGGGUAAUGGCCCACCAAGGCGACGAUGCAUAGCCGACCUGAGAGGGUGAUCGGCCACACUGGGACUGAGACACGGCCCAGACUCCUACGGGAGGCAGCAGUAGGGAAUCUUCCACAAUGGACGAAAGUCUGAUGGAGCAACGCCGCGUGAACGAUGAAGGCCUUCGGGUCGUAGAGUUCUGUUGUAAGGGAAGAACAAGUGCCGCAGGCAAUGGCGGCACCUUGACGGUACCUUGCGAGAGAGCCACGGCUAACUACGUGCCAGCAGCCGCGGUAAUACGUAUGUGGCAAGCGUUGUCCGGAAUU
rnacentral:rRNA from 1 species